rnacentral:rRNA from 1 species
AUUGAACGCUGGCGGCAUGCUUUACACAUGCAAGUCGAACGGCAGCGCGGGGGCAACCCUGGCGGCGAGUGGCGAACGGGUGAGUAAUGCAUCGGAACGUAUCCUGUAAUGGGGGAUAACGUAGCGAAAGUUACGCUAAUACCGCAUACGCUCGAGAGAGGAAAGUGGGGAUCGCAAGACCUCACGUUAUAGGAGCGGCCGAUGCCCGAUUAGCUAGUUGGUGGGGUAAAGGCCUACCAAGGCGACGAUCGGUAGCUGGUCUGAGAGGAUGAUCAGCCACACUGGGACUGAGACACGGCCCAGACUCCUACGGGAGGCAGCAGUGGGGAAUUUUGGACAAUGGGCGAAAGCCUGAUCCAGCCAUGCCGCGUGCGGGAAGAAGGCCU